rnacentral:tRNA from 1 species
GAUGUAGCUCAGUGGCAGAGUGCUUGCCUGGGAUGCUUGAGGCCCUGGGUUCAAUACCCAGUAUC